AGAAUGGCCUGUGUUGCAAAGGCCCACAGCUCUCCUCCAGCUCCAACCCCUGCUGUGUGCAGGUCACCAACCAGCAGCCCAGGCUGCCCAGAGCCACAUCCAGCCUGGCCUUGAAUGCCUGCAGGGAUGGGGCAUCCACAGCCUCCUUGGGCAACCUGUGCCAGUGCCUCACCACCCUCUGCAUGAAAAACUUCCUCCUCACAUCCAACCCAAACCUCCCCUGUCUCACUUUAAAGCCAUUCCCCUUGUCCCAUCACCACCCACCCUCACACACAGCCGUUCCCCUCCUGUUUAUCCGCUCCCUUCAAGCACUGGAAGGCCACCAUGAGGUCACCCCACAGCCUUCUCUUCUCCAAGCUAAACAAGCCCAGUUCCCUCAACCUUUCCUCGUAGCAGAGCUGCUUCAACCCCCCCAUGUUCAGUUAUCACUCUUCUUCAUUCUCUCAGGAAGUCCUCAGUGUGCUGCAUCUCUUCAGGCCUCGUGGAUGUGGUCACCAACACACGCAAUGACCUCACCUUGCUAAGUUCAGCUGUUUGAGACAGUAAGACCAAGUCUCUUUCCGUUACUAAUAGUGGGUGUUUCCUAUUCCACCAAGGAGAAUAUUCUCAUAUCCAUCUCCAUAAAUAAAAUAUACAAUCAGUUGUGUAACUCCA